rnacentral:tRNA from 1 species
GGGGUUGUGGCUCAGUGGCAUAUUGCUCACCUAGCAUGUGCGAGGCCCUGAGUUUGAUCCUCAGCGCCACA